UACGUAGGGUGCAAGCGUUAAUCGGAAUUACUGGGCGUAAAGCGUGCGCAGGCGGCUUUGCAAGACAGAUGUGAAAUCCCCGGGCUUAACCUGGGAACUGCAUUUGUGACUGCAUGGCUAGAGUGCGGCAGAGGGGGAUGGAGUUCCGCGUGUAGCAGUGAAAUGCGUAGAUAUGCGGAGGAACACCGAUGGCGAAGGCAAUCCCCUGGGCCUGCACUGACGCUCAUGCACGAAAGCGUGGGGAGCAAACAGG
rnacentral:rRNA from 1 species